GACGAACGCUGGCGGCGUGCUUAACACAUGCAAGUCGAACGCUGAAGCUUGGUGCUUGCACUGGGUGGAUGAGUGGCGAACGGGUGAGUAAUACGUGAGUAACCUGCCCUUGACUCUGGGAUAAGCCUGGGAAACUGGGUCUAAUACUGGAUACGACAUGUCACCGCAUGGUGGUGUGUGGAAAGGGUUUUACUGGUUUUGGAUGGGCUCACGGCCUAUCAGCUUGUUGGUGGGGUAAUGGCUCACCAAGGCGACGACAGGUAGCCGGCCUGAGAGGGUGACCGGCCACACUGGGACUGAGACACGGCCCAGACUCCUACGGGAGGCAGCAGUGGGGAAUAUUGCACAAUGGGCGGAAGCCUGAUGCAGCGACGCCGCGUGAGGGAUGACGGCCUUCGGGUUGUAAACCUCUUUCAGCACGGAAGAAGCGAAAGUGACGGUACGUGCAGAAGAAGCGCCGGCUAACUACGUG
rnacentral:rRNA from 1 species